UACAGAGGGUGCAAGCGUUGCUCGGAUUUACUGGGCGUAAAGCGUACGCAGACGGUUUGGAAGGUCGGACGUGAAAGCCCCGGGCUCAACCCGGGAAAUGCGUCCGAAACCACCAUGCUUGAGUAUGGGAGAGGGAAGCGGAAUUCCUGGUGUAGAGGUGAAAUUCGUAGAUAUCAGGAGGAACAUCGGCGGCGAAGGCGGCUUCCUGGCCCAUUACUGACGUUCAGGUACGAAAGCGUGGGUAGCAAACAGG
rnacentral:rRNA from 1 species